rnacentral:rRNA from 1 species
CGGAAUUACUGGGCGUAAAGCGUACGCAGGCGGUCUGUUAAGUCAGAUGUGAAAUCCCCGGGCUUAACCUGGGAACUGCAUUUGAAACUGGCAGGCUAGAGUCUCGUAGAGGGGGGUAGAAUUCCAGGUGUAGCGGUGAAAUGCGUAGAGAUCUGGAGGAAUACCGGUGGCGAAGGCGGCCCCCUGAACGAAGACUGACGCUCAGGUACGAAAGCGUGGGGAGCAAACAGGAUUAGAUACCCUGGUAGUCCACGCUGUAAACGAUGUCGAUUUGAAGGUUGUGGUCUUGAGCCGUGGCUUUCGGAGCUAACGCGUUAAAUCGACCGCCUGGGGAGUACGGCCGCAAGGUUAAAACUCAAAUGAAUUGACGGGGGCCCGCACAAGCGGUGGAGCAUGUGGUUUAAUUCGAUGCAACGCGAAGAACCUUACCUACUCUUGACAUCCAGAGAACUGAGCAGAGAUGCUUAGGUGCCUUCGGGAACUGUGAGACAGGUGCUGCAUGGCUGUCGUCAGCUCGUGUUGUGAAAUGUUGGGUUAAGUCCCGCAACGAGCGCAACCCUUAUCCUUUGUUGCCAGCGAUUCGGUCGGGAACUCAAAGGAGACUGCCGGUGAUAAACCGGAGGAAGGUGGGGAUGACGUCAAGUCAUCAUGGCCCUUACGAGUAGGGCUACACACGUGCUACAAUGGCGCAUACAAAGAGAAGCGAUCUCGCGAGAGUCAGCGGACCUCAUAAAGUGCGUCGUAGUCCGGAUUGGAGUCUGCAACUCGACUCCAUGAAGUCGGAAUCGCUAGUAAUCGUGGAUCAGAAUGCCACGGUGAAUACGUUCUCGGGCCUUGUACACACCGCCCGUCACACCAUGGGAGUGGGUUGCAAAAGAAGUAGGUAGCUUAACCUUAGGGAGGGCGUUUACCACUUUGUGAUUCAUGACUGGGGUGAAGUCGUAACAAGGUAACC